rnacentral:rRNA from 1 species
UUGAACGCUGGCGGCAUGCCUUACCCAUGCAAGUCGAACGGUAACAGGUCUUCGGAUGCUGACGAGUGGCGAACGGGUGAGUAAUACAUCGGAACGUGCCCGAUCGUGGGGGAUAACGGAGCGAAAGCUUUGCUAAUACCGCAUACGAUCUACGGAUGAAAGCAGGGGACCGCAAGGCCUUGCGCGGACGGAGCGGCCGAUGGCAGAUUAGGUAGUUGGUGGGAUAAAAGCUUACCAAGCCGACGAUCUGUAGCUGGUCUGAGAGGACGACCAGCCACACUGGGACUGAGACACGGCCCAGACUCCUACGGGAGGCAGCAGUGGGGAAUUUUGGACAAUGGGCGAAAGCCUGAUCCAGCCAUGCCGCGUGCAGGAUGAAGGCCUUCGGGUUGUAAACUGCUUUUGUACGGAACGAAAAGACUCUUUCUAAUAAAGAGGGUCCAUGACGGUACCGUAAGAAUAAGCACCGGCUAACUACGUG